rnacentral:rRNA from 1 species
AUUGAACGCUGACGGCAUGCUUAACACAUGCAAGUCGAACGGUAACAGGCCUAGCUUGCUAGGUGCUGACGAGUGGCGGACGGGUGAGCAACGCGUAGGAAUCUACCUUAUAGUGGGGGAUAACCUGGGGAAACCCAGGCUAAUACCGCAUGUUUCUCAAGAGAUAAAGCAGGGGACCUUCGGGCCUUGUGCUAUAAGAUGAGCCUGCGUCGGAUUAGCUAGUUGGUGGGGUAAAGGCCUACCAAGGCGACGAUCCGUAGCUGGUCUGAGAGGACGACCAGCCACACUGGGACUGAGACACGGCCCAGACUCCUACGGGAGGCAGCAGUGGGGAAUAUUGGACAAUGGGCGCAAGCCUGAUCCAGCAAUGCCGCGUGUGUGAAGAAGGCCUUCGGGUUGUAAAGCACUUUCAGUGGGGAGGAAGGACUUAAUCCUAAUAUGAUUAAGUAUUGACGUUACCUACAGAAGAAGCACCGGCUAACUCUGUGCCAGCAGCCGCCGUAA